AAUACUAUGUUGAGAGGGUAGAAUAGACCACCACCUUCAGAGUGCAAAUUGAAGAUUCUUUUCAGUGCUCACCUAUAACAAAGCUUCCUAAAAGUAGAGACCUCUAGCAGAAACCUCUGCCUCCAAUGUGUUAAUUGCAGUUUCAAGUUCAGGAAGUCUACAUGAGGAACAUGUUAAAAAUGGCACCCUGCUACCUGCGCAUGAGGUACAAACCACUCCCACUCCAUGCUGCUGCCUAUGUAGACGAAACUUAAGCUUUGGCAGGCAGUGAGAAGGCAACAGGAUGCAAUAUUCCACGUUCUUAGGAUUAUCAAGAAAUGCUUACAAACUGCUUAAUGCAACUUGCUCUUGAAGAAUGAUUUGCUAGCUUGAAGGAUGAACAGAUCACUGACAUACAGACACAGACCACGGAUGCAGAACUUGCAGCAUGCAAACAGAUGAAGACUUCCAAGAGUCAGUCACCACUACCACCAUGGAGAAGAGCCAGGAGCUGCAGACAGUCCAGGUGCUGAGAUGAGAUGCCUUGCCUCAGAGCAACAAGCAUCUACUAGGUACUAGCAGGCCUUGGCUGUUUGGUAGAACAUUUCCAUGGGGAGGGUUACUUUCCCACAUGGAACCUUUGAAGAGCAGCAGUUGGAACAGCCACAGCAGAAAUAUCUUGGACUGGGCAUUGGACAUUUAUUUUGUUUAUUUAUUUUUACAUUUAUAUACAGCCUUUCAUUAAAAGAAAACCCCAAGACAUCUUAUAUCAUUGUCCCUCUAGAACAUUCAGCUGUCACCACUGUCUUAAGCAAAAAUAAUUUGAUUAAGUAUUAAUUUUCUUAUGUUCAGCUGCCUUGGAGACCUAUUGUCAGGCAAGAAGGUCGGAUAGAUAACUGGAAUGCUUACAUUAACUCAAGGGGAUGCUUAUUAUGAACUCUUUGGCUUCAACCACAGCUUGACUAUUUGCAUUUCUGGAUAAAGCUAUUGCAUGCAACAUCCAGCACACGAUCAAGGUAAAACCAAUGCUUCCUGUGCUCUCUCCGCCGCCCCACCCCACCCCCAAAAAAGAAUUCAGCCAUCACUGUAUGUAUGCCAGUUGAUUAGCAGUUCUUCCACUGGCAAAAAGUUAAUUUGAUAAAGAUUUAUACUUCCCUGUGUAAGCUAUCGCUCUCCGGCAUAUUAUUAACUUUAGUUUCAGUAAGCCAAUAUAGCAUCUUUAUACCAGAAUGCUGCACAAGGCUAUUUUUAAAGAUUCAGUAUUCUUUCAGUUGCCACAGAUCCUUGGUGCAUCUGAACUCAGUGCUGGUGUUGCCAAGAAUUGGUUCUCCAGGCAGCAGAUUCCAGAUUCAGUGCCAUUUUUCUAGCUCUAUAUAUGUACAAAAAUGUCUUCGGGCCAGCACUGUUUGGACUUUUCAUUUGAUGUAGCACUGACAGUAGGGCUUAUUUUUACAGACCAAGUAUGGAACUACCUAAAGCUCUGUGCUCUGCUCCAUAAUCAUAUCAGAAAGAAGCUUUUCCCAGAUAGCUUGCUCAUCCUGCACUUCCUAGUCACCAGUCAAGGUGAAACUUACAAGCCCAUAAACUUUAAAUCCAUACCUUGUUUCAAAGGCCAAAUGUCUUUUCUGCUGCUAAUGCCCUAUCAACUUUUAAUUUAGCAAUGAUGUUAAUACAAGCCAUACUAAGGUAUUUGCUCAUGUAAAAACAGGUAUAAUUUUUCACAUUUAUCCAAAACUGAUAACGGCAUUUCACACUCAUUCAGGCUUCAAGCCACAAAAAUACAGGUCACUCCCAUUUUAUGUCUCCAUGUGGCGAAGGUGCUCAAACCAAGGAGAGAGUCUAUGGCUGAGCAAGCACGUUUGAGUUCAAUGCCUCAAAGAUUCAAGCUGAUGACUAUGAUCCCACAUGCAGCAAGUGUACAGUUUUGAAUACAGAAACUGAAUUGCUCAGUAGGUUUACUGCCUACGUAAUCUCUGAAGUAAGCUCCAUUCUCAGUGGAAUUUGCUCCUGAAUAGACAGUUCUAGAGAAUACAUAUACACAAACCAUUACAAGGGCUACAUUGUCUACACUGUGUACUUUGCAUCUAAAUGGUGUAGUCACAAAGGACCACCUGCUCACACAUGAUCCUGUACUGAGCUCUACUGAUGCUCUGCUCCAUCUCCCAAAUACAACUGGUAGGUACAUGCAAGAGAGCUUUCCUGGUCAUGGCACCGAAAAUUUGGAACUCCAUUUCUUGUGAGGGAUGUCUAGACCCUGCCCUUUUAGUAAAGACCUUCCUGAUUAGACAGAUUUUUGAUGUAGUUUAAUGUAGCCACGUUUCUCAGCUUUCCUGCUUGUUUACCUUUUUUAAAAAAAUGGUUGGUUUUUUGGCAUUUUAUGGCUUUUACUAUUUAACUGAUUUUAAAGUUUUAAGUGUGAUUUUAAUGACAUUUUAUUGUAUUUUAAUGUUUGCAAACCUCUGUAGAAUGCCUUAUGAAAGACAGUAUAAUAAAUAAAUGCACUCCC